rnacentral:tRNA from 1 species
ACUUUUAAUGGACAACAGAAGUCCAAUGGUCUUAGGCGCCCAGCCU